rnacentral:rRNA from 1 species
AAGUAGAUAGCUUAACCUUCGGGAGGGCGUUUACCACGGUAUGAUUCAUGACUGGGGUGAAGUCGUAACAAGGUAACCGUAGGGGAACCUGCGGUUGGAUCACCUCCUUACCUAAAAUGAAGC